rnacentral:rRNA from 1 species
UACGUAGGGUGCGAGCGUUAAUCGGAAUUACUGGGCGUAAAGCGUGCGCAGGCGGUUUUGUAAGACAGGCGUGAAAUCCCCGGGCUCAACCUGGGAAUUGCGCUUGUGACUGCAAGGCUAGAGUGCGUCAGAGGGGGGUAGAAUUCCACGUGUAGCAGUGAAAUGCGUAGAGAUGUGGAGGAAUACCGAUGGCGAAGGCAGCCCCCUGGGACCGUGGACUGACGCUCAUGCACGAAAGCGUGGGGA